AAGAACAAAAGAAACAAGAGGAAAAAAAGAGAGAAGAAAAUCGGCCAAAGGGGGGAAAAAAUUGAUCCUUGAAAUCUUGCUCCCAAAAAUAUUUUCAUUCUAGUAUUCCCACUAAUUUAAGGGUCCUCUAUAACAUGGUGGAGUUAUUUUGGAAGAUUGGAGGCUUGUUUAAUUGAUUUUGGAGUGAAGAAGUUAGAAGAAAAAAGAUUUUGGAGAAAACGAAAAUUGAAUUUGGACAAGCAUAAAAGGCCAAUAAGAUUGUUGGCCAGUUAAAGUCUCUUACGUUCAAAAGGUGAAAAUUGCCAAGAUGAGAAUGUUGAGAUGGAUGUGUGGGCAUACCAGAAGCGACAAGAUUAGAAAUGAGGCUAUUUGGGACAAGGCAGGAGUGACCUCGGUGGAAGACAAGAUGCAGGAAGUGCAACUGAGAUGGUUUGGGCAUGUGAAGAGGAGAGACACAAAUGCCCCAGUGCGGAGGUGCGAGAUGUUGGCCAUGGAUGGUUUCAGAAGAGGUAGGGGUAGGCCGAAGAAAUAUUGGGGAGAGGUGAUUAGACAGGACAUGACGCAGUUACAACUUACCAAGGACAUGACCUUAGAUAGGAGGGUGUUGAGGACCUAUAUUAGGAUAGAAGGCUAGUACAAAGUCUCGUUAUUUCUCCUUAUUAGUAGGCGCAUUAGAGCACUAUAAUUUCUUGUACUCUGCUUUUUGUUAAUAUACUACUCUCUGUACUUUGAUUACUCUAUUUUAUCUGUGUCGCUUUCGUUA